AAUGCCUGCACAGCCUUCCCUCCGCAAACACCGCAACCCUCAUUCCAUCAGUGCAACUCUCUGGUGUGAGCUAAUUUAACAAGCGGUUGCUUUGCAGGCUGCGGAGAAUUGCCUCUUACCUAAUAAUUCUGCUAAUUUGCUUAACUUCCCCAGAUUGCAAACAGCCCUGCUCUGAACAAGCAGCUUUCUAAAUGAACCCCUAGACAAUUUCUUGACAAGGAGCAGGGGGGGGAGAGGGAAGGUGGAUGGCUCGGGAGGUUGGAGCUCACAGUCUUUUAUUUUUGACCUUUGGGCCAGCAUUCAGCUGUGCUCGUGGGGAAAGCGGCAGUCAGGAUGUAUUUUCUUCGGGGAUUUACGCUACCCUUUUGCUUGUAAUUAUUCUCACUUGAUGUCUUCCAUAAAUUAAAGAUGCUCCUAUUAGUCAGUUCCAGUCCUCUCAAUUAUCUUGCUAAAGUCUCCUUAUUUGUGGGCCAGAGCUGCACCACCAGGAUCGCCGCCCUCACAGAGCUGCCGGGCAGAGAAAUAAGGAAUGUACACGGAGGAGACUACCUCUUCAAAGGAUGGCAGGCGUGCCUGCAGGUACAGCCGAGGCAACCCAGAUGGAUGGGGGAGAGAGGGAGGCAGGUGAACUGGGAAGACAGAGAUUUUCCCGGAGAGCAAAAUGAACCCUUUACGAAGCCUGGGGGAUUAAAGAGGUGGCUUAGUUCUUUUCACAGCAUCCACCCUUCAACCCAUUUAAACACCGUGCCUUUUCCAAGAAAUGAAGGGCAAAGAAGCACCGAUGAGCAAUAAAGAGAUAAGCAGCAAAGUAACUCGUUUCGCCGGUGUUUUCCCAUGAAAAAUGAACCCUCCAGCCCACCCGGUGAUUUGUUGUCGAAGUGGCAAAGCUCACCCAAGCUCCUGAUUUUGCUUCCAGCAGAGAUGCUCGUUGCUCAUUCUCACACCCUGGAGCAAUUUGGACUCAUUACGUGGCGCUGGCUCUUCCCACCGGCACCUGCCCGGGUGCGGGGUGGGACUGGAGAUGCAGGCAGUGAGCAAAAAAGGGGACAAAACCCCUCUUUCUCCCUGUACCCACUCUAGGAACUGGUGGAAAAUUAUAAUCAACUUGGCAAUAUUUUAUUAACCUUUAGUACAAGAGGAUAGGCUAUGAUUUCAUAUGGUUUAAGAGAAAAUCAAGCCUGGAAUAAAAGCCUUUUUUUUAAGAAACA
rnacentral:lncRNA from 1 species